rnacentral:rRNA from 1 species
UACAGAGGGUGCGAGCGUUAAUCGGAAUUACUGGGCGUAAAGCGCGCGUAGGCGGCUUUUCAAGUCGGGUGUGAAAUCCCCAGGCUUAACCUGGGAACUGCAUUCGAGACUGCAUUGCUAGAGUAUGGGAGAGGGAAGUGGAAUUUCCGGUGUAGCGGUGAAAUGCGUAGAUAUCGGAAGGAACAUCAGUGGCGAAAGCGACUUCCUGGACCAAUACUGACGCUCAUGUGCGAAAGCGUGGGGAGCAAACAGG